GAGCUGGAGCUGUCCCACAGUUCCCAAAAUGUGCCUGCAGAGAGCUGGUCUGCCAGGAGCCCUCUCACUCCUAAGAUCACAGGCUCACAGGCCCACAGGAGGAACAAGCUCCAGGCAGAGACAGCAAGACCAACAUCAGAGUUAACCAUAUGGUGAGAGAAAGCAGAAUAACCUAAGCAACAGAAACCAAGACUACUUGGUACCAUCAGAACCCAGUAUCCUACCACAGCAAAUACUGGAUGUCCCAACAAACUGAAAAGCAAGAUUUGGAUUUAAAAUCACAUCUCAUGAUGAUGAUAGAGGACUAUAAGAAGGACAUAAAUAACUCCCUUAAAGAAAUACAAAAGAACACAGGUAAACAAGUAGAAGCCCUUAAAGAGAAAAAACAAAAUCUCUUAAAGAAUUACAGGAAAACACAACUGAAAAGGUAAAGAAAUUGAACAAAUCCAUCAAGGAACUAAAAAUGGAACUAGAAAAAAAA
rnacentral:lncRNA from 1 species